UAGUCCACGCCGUAAACGAUGGAUACUAGGUGUGUGGGAAGUUAACCUCCUGCGUACUGAAGUUAACGCAUUAAGUAUCCCGCCUGGGGAGUACGGUCGCAAGGCUAAAACUCAAAGGAAUUGACGGGGGCCCGCACAAGCGGUGGAGUAUGUGGUUUAAUUCGAAGCAACGCGCAGAACCUUACCUACCCUUGACAUCCCAGGACAACCUCAGAGAUGAGGCUUUUUCUUCGGAAACCUGGUGACAGAUGCUGCAGGGCUGUCGUCAGCUCGUGUCGUAAGAUGUUCGGUUAAGUCCGGUAACGAGCGCAACCCUUGUCUUUAGUUGCCAUCAUUAAGUUGGGCACUCUAGAGAGACUGCCGGUGUCAAACCGGAGGAAGGCGGGGGAUGAUGUCAAGUCCUCAUGGCUCUUACGGGUAGGGCUACACACGUACUACAAUGGCAGAAACAGACGGCUGCGAAACCGCGAGGUUAGGCUAAUCCGUAAAACACUGUCUCAGUCCGGAUUGGAGUCUGCAACUCGACUCCA
rnacentral:rRNA from 1 species